UUUCCUUAAAUGAUUCUGGUUACAAAUUUGAUUUUGAUGCUUCAGUUCAUGGUUUGAUUGGUUUGGAUUCUGAAGAUAAUGAGGUGAAUGAUGCCCGGAUGCUAAAUUGUUAGUGCCUUUGCGAACUAUUGUUGAUCAAAGUCUUUAUUUAGCAUAUCAUCCACAAUUAUAUCUUCCCCAAAAGCUUGGUGUGUUAAUGAUCUUUACAAUAUUCACUUCUUGAGGAAAAUGCUUCCUAGAGAGGAAUUGAUUGAGUUAGGAGAAAAAAGUAACUUGUCUGAAUCCUGAGUGAAAUAUGAAUCUUUAAAUUACUGUUGACGUUAACGGAUGAUAACUCAGAACAUAAGCCAUGCACAUCCCAUUGGAAACUGCUUGUUAGUAUUCAAAUUGUGAGGUCUGCCAGUCUCCAGGAAGCUUGUUACUCGUAGAGGGUGCAACCUUAUCUUGAUCAAAGCCUACGAAAGCUGAUGUUUGAGAACUUCCGCCAAUGUGAUGUUUGUUCAAUGCUGAGUAUCAAUAUCCCACACUCUCAAAAACUUGCCUUUGAUGAGCUAACUAGCUUUUUUCCCAGAACCAAUAAAUACAACAUCAGUCACCUGGAUCGCGAUGACCGCGAAGGCGAAAAAGACCGGUUUCUCUAACAACAUCAUUAUCUU
rnacentral:lncRNA from 1 species